rnacentral:lncRNA from 1 species
GGCGCCACGCUUGAUGAUAUCCGACAAGCAUUCCCAAUCCCAAUGGGCCCUCCAGGAGCUACUGGGGCGCCAGGGUUGAAGGGGGAUAAAGGAGAAAUGGGCCUGAGAGGAGACAAGGUAGUUAAACGUUUCUGCUGAAAACAAAAACAAAAAAAUCAAUCGCAGUAUUCAAGUGGAAUUGACCUUUUUCUUGGCCGCGCUGGUUUCCUGCAGGGAGAUGCCGGAACUCCGGGAAAAUCUAUAGAGAUGAAGGUGCGUCAAACCUCCCUAAUGCUGCCCUAAUACGCUCAAGCGGGUGCAGCAAUUUGUUUUCCAUCUUCCACAGGACAUCGAAAUGAUGUUUGAAGCCUACGGCAUCAGGCUGUCGUUGCUGAAGGCUUUGAUCGACAGGCUGCUGCAGGACGGAACAGAGGACUCGCUCGGAGCCAGGAAAACAAAGGAAACGGCAGAAACCCGCACCUCCAACGUCAUCAGCGAGUACGCUAGUUCAGGAAAGUUUCACGUCGGCGGCCAGCAGCUGUCGGAGUUACACGCGACAGAGGGCUACGGUUUAAAAGGACAGCUGCCUUUGCCCUUCGGCCCCGCCGCCGCGGCUCCUACAUUACAGCCUCCCAUCACCCAGAAUGCCGAGCAGCACCUUGACGGAGGUGAGUUUAACAGAUCCAGUUUUAAGGAUUCAGCCAACGGGGACAGAGACAGAGCAUCUCUCAAUGUCAUCGGUUCUACUUCAAACCCUCCCUUCACCCGGGAGACUGUUUCAGAGUUACCAGAAAUCUUGGCGGAGACGGUUUUGCUCAGUCCAGAAGUCUCUUUGGAGAAGGGACAAAAGAAGAAGAACAGAGAGCGCGGGAAGGGCAACAGAAAUAAGGGACGACCUAAGAGGCAGAGGCAACGCCUGGUAAAUGUCCCUAAAGGGGUCAGACUCAUCCAUAACACUAACACAACGAAGCCCCACCCUGCAGAAUUUUAGGAUUCUGCAAUACAGAAAGAAAAAUGCUUUGUAGCUAAAAUCUUUCAUCAUAAACUAACAAUAACUCACGCUUUAGAGGCUAUAAGCACGCGUUUCUCCCCGUGUCAGUGUGCUUCUCAUCACAUCGACCGCAGCUUCGGCUCUCUGGCUCCUCAUCACUCGGCUAUUCUCUGAUCCCGCC